rnacentral:rRNA from 1 species
GAUGAACGCUGACAGCAUGCUUAACACAUGCAAGUCAUUCGCGAAGGUGCGCUUGCGCAGGCUAGCCAGGGCGGACGGGUGAGUAACGCGUCAGGAACUUGCCCUGCAGACAGGGAUAACAAACGGAAACGACUGAUAACACCUGGUAUUAUCAGGCUGUGGCAUGCGGGCCUGAUGAAAGGAGACGCUGCAGGAGAGCCUUGCGUCCUAUUAGCUAGUUGGUGGGGUAACGGCCCACCAAGGCGAUGAUAGGUAGCCGGCCUGAGAGGGUGAACGGCCACAAGGGGACUGAGAUACGGCAGUUACUCCUACGGGAGGCAGCAGUGGGGAAUAUUGGACUAUGGGGGCAACUGUGAUCCAGCAAUUCUGUGUGCACGAAGAAGGUUUUCGGAUUGUAAAGUGCUUUCAGCAGAGAAGAAGAAAGUGACGGUACCGGCAGAAGAAGCGACGGCUAAAUACGUG